rnacentral:rRNA from 1 species
AGUGGGAAACGAUGUGGGAAGGCAUAGACAGCCAGGAGGUUGGCUUAGAAGCAGCCACCCUUUAAAGAAAGCGUAAUAGCUCACUGGUCGAGUCGGCCUGCGCGGAAGAUGUAACGGGGCUAAAACUAGUCACCGAAGCUGCGGAUGUGCGCGAAGGCGCACGUGGUAGGGGAGCGUUCUGUAGGCUGAUGAAGGUGCAUUGAGAAGUGUGCUGGAGGUAUCAGAAGUGCGAAUGCUGACAUGAGUAACGAUAAUGUGGGUGAAAAGCCCACACGCCGGAAGUCCCAGGUUUCCUGCACGACGUUAAUCGGAGCAGGGUGAGUCGGCCCCUAAGGCGAGGCUGAAGAGCGUAGUCGAUGGGAACCAGGUUAAUAUUCCUGGACUUUUUAUAAGUGGUGAAGUG